rnacentral:tRNA from 1 species
AGGGGCGUAACUCAGUUGGUAGAGUAAUGGUCUCCAAAACCAUCUGUCGGAGGUUCGAGUCCUUCCGCCCCUGCCA